rnacentral:rRNA from 1 species
GCCCUUAAGUCUGGGAUACCAUUUGGAAACAGAUGCUAAUACCGGAUAAAAAAGCUACUUUCGCAUGAAAGAAAGUUUAAAAAAGGACGGGCGUAAGCUGUCGCUAAAGGAUGGACCUGCGAUGCAUUAGCUAGUUGGUAAGGUAACGGCUUACCAAGGCGAUGAUGCAUAGCCGAGUUGAGAGACUGAUCGGCCACAUUGGGACUGAGACACGGCCCAAACUCCUACGGGAGGCAGCAGUAGGGAAUUUUCCACAAUGGACGCAAGUCUGAUGGAGCAACGCCGCGUGAGUGAAGAAGGUUUUCGGAUCGUAAAGCUCUGUUGUUGGUGAAGAAGGAUAGAGGUAGUAACUGGCCUUUAUUUGACGGUAAUCAACCAGAAAGUCACGGGCUAACUACGUGCCAGCAGCCGCGGUAAAU